AUGUGUCAGGAUGCUCCACAGAGGAAAAAGCAGGCCCUGCUCUUCAAGCUCGAUUUCGCUCGUGCUUUCGACUCUGUAUCCUGGGCUUACCUGCUCGAGCUGCUGCAUCACAUGGGGUUCUCGCAACGUUGGCGAAACUGGAUGGCCCUGCUUCUCUCCACUGCUUCCUCCUCCUAUCUGCUUAACGGGAUGCCGGACCUAAGUUUUUUGCACGCCCGCGGGCUCAGGCAGGGAGACCCACUCUCGCCACUGCUCUUCAUCUUGGCGAUCGACCCUAUGUAUCGUCUUUUAGACACUGCCACUUCAACCGAGCUCCUGGCACCGCUACCAGGACGGGGAGCAAGCAUGCGGGUGAGUUUGUACGCCGAUGAUACGGUCAUUUUCACCAACCCAGUCAAACAAGAGAUCGACACCCUGCUCGAGUUGAUGCACUCUUUUGGUGAGGCGACAUGUCUGAAACUAAACCAAAGCAAAUCUUCAGUGAUCCCGAUGAACUGCAACGACGAACUGCUGGCAGAGGUUUUGCAGGGUUUUGGAGGCUCGAUCGCCAGCUUCCCAACAACCUACUUGGGGCUGCCAAUAACACCUAAACGGCUGAGGCUGGUUCACUUCCAAUUCCUAAUCGACCGGGUGAAAUCAUGA
rnacentral:rRNA from 1 species